rfam:Coccidioides immitis H538.4 supercont1.13 genomic scaffold, whole genome shotgun sequence.
UCCCUAGUGGUGUAGUGGCUAACAUCGCUGUCUUUCACACAGCAGCCCUGGGUUCGAUUCCCAGCUAGGGAG